AUCUUUGCGCUUGGGGCAAUGACGCAACUAGUGAGGUGAAACUGAGACGUGUCAAUUGCUGGUUGAAAACUAAUAAGGAAAAUGUUUUUACAUUCUGUUUCCAUAGUAUUUUCCUAUCUUGUAGCAGUUUUGCAGUUAGCAGUUAACU